GGAGGGAUCAUUACUGAGUUACAUACUCCAAAACCCUUCUGUGGACCCCUAAAACGUUGCCUCGGCGGGCUCGCCUGCCGCUGGCCUCACCAACAAAAUUCUAAAUAUACAUCUGAGUGGCGCAGACUAUAAAAUAAGUCAAAACUUUCAGCAACGGAUCUCUUGGCUCUGGCAUCGAUGAAGAACGCAGCGAAAUGCGAUAAGUAAUGUGAAUUGCAGAAUUCAACGAAUCAUCGAAUCUUUGAACGCAUAUUGCGCCCGCUGGUAUUCCGGCGGGCAUGCCUGUUCGAGCGUCAUCAAACCCCCUCGGGCCGCACCUCCUAGCGGGGAAGCGGCCCGGCGUUGGGGCGUCGCGGGUCCCCCCGGGUCUCGCGUGCCCCUAAAUUCAGUGGCGGACGCCCCCGAGCCUCCCAGCGCAGUAACUUCGGUCUCGCUGACGGUGGACGGGAGCGGCCCCUGCCCAACAAAACACCCCAUGAGUUUGACCUCGGAUCAGGUAGGACUACCCGCUGAACUUAAGCAUAUCAAUAAGCGGAGGAAAAGAAACCAACAGGGAUUGCCUUAGUAACGGCGAGUGAAGCGGCAACAGCUCAAAUUUGAAAUCUGGCCUCGGCCCGAGUUGUAAUUUGCAGAGGAUGCUUCUGGCGACGCGCCUUCCGAGUCCCCUGGAACGGGGCGCCGGAGAGGGUGAGAGCCCCGUACGGUUGGACGCCUAGCCUGUGUGAAGCUCCUUCGACGAGUCGAGUAGUUUGGGAAUGCUGCUCUAAAUGGGAGGUAAAUUCCUUCUAAAGCUAAAUACCGGCCAGAGACCGAUAGCGCACAAGUAGAGUGAUCGAAAGAUGAAAAGCACUUUGGAAAGAGGGUUAAACAGUACGUGAAAUUGCUGAAAGGGAAGCGCUUGCGACCAGACUCGCGCCGGGCGGAUCAUCCAGCGUUCUCGCUGGUGCACUUCGCCCGGCCCGGGCCAGCAUCGGUUCUGACGGGGGGACAAAAGCCCGGGAAACGUAGCUCCCUCCGGGGAGUGUUAUAGUCCCCCGCCCAAUACCCCCGCCGGGACCGAGGACCGCGCUUCGGCAAGGAUGCUGGCAUAAUGGUCGUCAGCGACCCGUCUUGAAACACGGACCAAGGAGUCGAACAUUUGUGCGAGUGUUUGGGUGGAAAACCCUCACGCGUAAUGAAAGUGAACGGAGGUGGGAGCCUCGGCGCACCAUCGACCGAUCCUGAUGUUCUCGGAUGGAUUUGAGUAAGAGCAUAACUGUUCGGACCCGAAAGAUGGUGAACUAUGCCUGUAUAGGGUGAAGCCAGAGGAAACUCUGGUGGAGGCUCGCAGCGGUUCUGACGUGCAAAUCGAUCGUCAAAUAUGGGCAUGGGGGCGAAAGACUAAUCGAACCAUCUAGUAGCUGGUUUCCGC
rnacentral:misc_RNA from 1 species